UUUAAUUGAAGAGUUUGAUCAUGGCUCAGAUUGAACGCUGGCGGCAGGCCUAACACAUGCAAGUCGAGCGGCAGCGGAAGGAAGCUUGCUUCCUUGCCGGCGAGCGGCGGACGGGUGAGUAAUGUCUGGGGAUCUGCCCGAUGG
rnacentral:rRNA from 1 species